CCUAUCUAGAGGUUAUAACAGGGUCACCGUCUCAUCUAGAGGUUAUAACAGGGUCACUGUCUCAUCUAGAGGUUAUAACAGGGUCACCGUCUCAUCUACAGAGGUUAUAACAGAGUCACCGUCUCAUCUAGAGGUUAUAACAGGGUCACCGUCUCAUCUAGAGG
rnacentral:lncRNA from 1 species